rnacentral:rRNA from 1 species
ACAUGUCUUUUUGAGAAGAAAAUUUAAAGUCGGGCCUGCCCACUGAAUUUUUUGAAGGGCCGCGGUAUUUUGACCGUGCAAAGGUAGCAUAAUCAUUAGUCUUUUAAUUGAAGGCUGGAAUGAAUGGUUUGACGAAGUAUUAACUGUCUCUUUGUGAAGAAUGGAAUUUAACUUUUGAGUCAAAAGGCUUAAAUAAUAAUAGAGGACGAGAAGACCCUAUAGAGUUUUAUAUGAAUAAUAAAUAAUUUAUUUUUAGUAGUUGUAAGGUUUAAUUAUUGUUUGUAUUAUGUUGGGGUGACAUAAAGAUAUAAAAAACUCUUUAUUAUUACAAACAUAAAUUUAUGAAUAGGUGAUCCAUUAUUAAUGAUUAGAAGAUAAAAUUACCUUAGGGAUAACAGCGUAAUUUUCUUUGAGAGUUCGUAUCGAAAAGAAAGUUUGCGACCUCGAUGUUGGAUUAAGAUAAUGGUUUGGUGUAGCAGCUAAAUUAAUAAGUCUGUUCGACUUUUAAAAUCUUAC